rnacentral:rRNA from 1 species
AUCCAGUCCAUCCUCGUCCGUAUCAAGGGAAGGCUUGCGGUCUGGAAGGGAAAGCUCAUGUCAAUCGCGGGAAGAAGAGUGCUCGUAAGGAGUGUCCUCAGCACGCUCCCAACUUUUGCCAUGACAGUGCUCAAAGUGCCAAAGAAGUUUUAUACUGAAGUUGACAGGGUUAGAUGAUAAUUUCUAUGGGCCCAAGAAGAAGAGAUCACCGGCGGCAAAUGCAAGGUCAGUUGGUCUGUUUUAUGCUCGUCAAUCGACAAUGGGGGCCCGAGGAUACCAGAUUUGCAGCGAUUGGGCAGAGCCAUGCAUCUGUGA